rnacentral:rRNA from 1 species
AACCGACACAGGUGGUCAGGUAGAGAAUACUCAGGCGCUUGAGAGAACUCGGGUGAAGGAACUAGGCAAAAUGGUGCCGUAACUUCGGGAGAAGGCACGCUGGGCGCGGUGAAGUCCCUCGCGGAUGGAGCUGAGCCCAGUCGCAGAUACCAGCUGGCUGCAACUGUUUAAUAAAAACACAGCACUGUGCAAACACGAAAGUGGACGUAUACGGUGUGACGCCUGCCCGGUGCCGGAAGGUUAAUUGAUGGGGUUAUCCGCAAGGAGAAGCUCUUGAUCGAAGCCCCGGUAAACGGCGGCCGUAACUAUAACGGUCCUAAGGUAGCGAAAUUCCUUGUCGGGUAAGUUCCGACCUGCACGAAUGGCGUAAUGAUGGCCAGGCUGUCUCCACCCGAGACUCAGUGAAAUUGAACUCGCUGUGAAGAUGCAGUGUACCCGCGGCAAGACGGAAAGACCCCGUGAACCUUUACUAUAGCUUGACACUGAACCUUGAACCUUGAUGUGUAGGAUAGGUGGGAGGCUGAGAAAUGUGGACGCCAGUCUGCAUGGAGCCAACCUUGAAAUACCACCCUUUAAUGUUUGAUGUUCUAACGUGGACCCGUGAUCCGGGUUGCGGACAGUGUCUGGUGGGUAGUUUGACUGGGGCGGUCUCCUCCCAAAGAGUAACGGAGGAGCACGAAGGUUAGCUAAUCCNGAAAUGUGGACGCCAGUCUGCAUGGAGCCAACCUUGAAAUACCACCCUUUAAUGUUUGAUGUUCUAACGUGGACCCGUAAUCCGGGUUGCGGACAGUGUCUGGUGGGUAGUUUGACUGGGGCGGUCUCCUCCCAAAGAGUAACGGAGGAGCACGAAGGUUAGCUAAUCCUGGUCGGACAUCAGGAGGUUAGUGCAAAGGCAUAAGCUAGCUUGACUGCGAGAGUGACGGCUCGAGCAGGUGCGAAAGCAGGUCUUAGUGAUCCGGUGGUUCUGAAUGGAAGGGCCAUCGCUCAACGGAUAAAAGGUACUCCGGGGAUAACAGGCUGAUACCGCCCAAGAGUUCAUAUCGACGGCGGUGUUUGGCACCUCGAUGUCGGCUCAUCACAUCCUGGGGCUGAAGUAGGUCCCAAGGGUAUGGCUGUUCGCCAUUUAAAGUGGUACGCGAGCUGGGUUUAGAACGUCGUGAGACAGUUCGGUCCCUAUCUGCCGUGGGCGUUGGAAGAUUGAGGGGGGUUGCUCCUAGUACGAGAGGACCGGAGUGAACGCACCGCUGGUGUUCGGGUUGUCAUGCCAAUGGCACUGCCCGGUAGCUACGUGCGGAAGAGAUAACCGCUGAAAGCAUCUAAGCGGGAAACUUGCCCCGAGAUGAGUCUUCCCUGGGCCCUUGAGGCCCCUGAAGGGACGUUUAAGACUAAGACGUU